CAGUCGCCGCGGUAAUACGUAGGGUGCAAGCGUUAAUCGGGAUUACUGGGCGUAAAGCGUGCGCAGGCGGUUUGUUAAGACAGAUGUGAAAUCCCCGGGCUCAACCUGGGAACUGCAUUUGUGACUGGCGAGCUAGAGUGUGGCAGAGGGGGGUGGAAUUCCGCGUGUAGCAGUGAAAUGCGUAGAUAUGCGGAGGAACACCGAUGGCGAAGGCAGCCCCCUGGGCCAACACUGACGCUCAUGCACGAAAGCGUGGGGAGCAAACAGGAUUAGAUACCCCGGUAGUCCCUGUCUCUUAUAC
rnacentral:rRNA from 1 species